rnacentral:rRNA from 1 species
GAUGAACGCUGGCGGCGUGCCUAAUACAUGCAAGUCGAGCGAACGGACGAGAAGCUUGCUUUUCUGAUGUUAGCGGCGGACGGGUGAGUAACACGUGGAUAGCCUACCUAUAAGACUGGGAUAACUUCGGGAAACCGGAGCUAAUACCGGAUAAUAUUUUGAACCGCAUGGUUCAAAAGUGAAAGACGGUCUUGCUGUCACUUAUAGAUGGAUCCGCGCUGCAUUAGCUAGUUGGUAAGGUAACGGCUUACCAAGGCAACGAUGCAUAGCCGACCGGAGAGGGUGAUCGGCCACACUGGAACUGAGACACGGUCCAGACUCCUACGGGAGGCAGCAGUAGGGAAUCUUCCGCAAUGGGCGAAAGCCUGACGGAGCAACGCCGCGUGAGUGAUGAAGGUCUUCGGAUCGUAAAACUCUGUUAUUAGGGAAGAACAUAUGUGUAAGUAACUGUGCACAUCUUGACGGUACCUAAUCAGAAAGCCACGGCUAACUACGUG